UCAAGUGACUAAGUGCAUGUGGCGGAUGCCUUGGCGAUCACAGGCGAAGAAAGACGCGGCAGCCUGCGAAAAGCUGCGGGGAGCUGGCAAACGAGCUUUGAUCCGCAGAUAUCUGAAUGGGGGAACCCACACCGCAAGGUGUAUCCGUGACUGAAUACAUAGGUUACGGAGGCGAACGAGGAGAACUGAAACAUCUAAGUAUCCUCAGGAAAAGAAAUCAACCGAGAUUCCGGCAGUAGCGGCGAGCGAACCCGGAGGAGCCUAGCUUUUGAUAGUACGAACUUUAGCCGAAAGGUCCUGGAAAGGCCUGCUAUAGUGGGUGAUAGCCCCGUAGGCGAAAGAGUUCGUACGGUACUAAGGAAGCGAGAAGUAGAGCGGGACACGUGGAAUCCUGUUCGAAGAUGGGGGGACCAUCCUCCAAGGCUAAAUACUCGUGAUCGACCGAUAGUGAACCAGUACCGUGAGGGAAAGGCGAAAAGAACCCCGGGAGGGGAGUGAAAUAGAACCUGAAACCGCAUGCAUACAAACAGUAGGAGCCUCGUCAGAGGUGACUGCGUACCUUUUGCAUAAUGGGUCAGCGACUUACAUUCUGUGGCGAGCUUAACCGAAUAGGGGAGGCGCAGCGAAAGCGAGUUCGAAAUGAGCGUCCAGUCGCAGGGUGUAGACCCGAAACCAGAUGAGCUAUCCAUGGCCAGGUUGAAGGUGUGGUAACACACACUGGAGGACCGAACCGACUAGUGUUGCAAAAUUAGCGGAUGAGCUGUGGAUAGGGGUGAAAGGCCAAACAAAUCUGGAGAUAGCUGGUUCUCCCCGAAAACUAUUGAGGUAGUGCCUCGUGUGUCGCUCCAGGGGGUAGAGCACUGUUUUGGCUAGGGGGACAUGGAGUCUUACCAAACCAAGGCAAACUCCGAAUACCUGGAAGCGUAAGCACGGGAGACAGAGCACCGGGUGCUAACGUCCGGACUCAAAAGGGAAACAACCCAGACCGCCGGCUAAGGUCCCCAAUAACAGCUAAGUGGAAAACGAAGUGGAAAGGCCGUGACAACCAGGAAGUUGGCUUAGAAGCAGCCAUCCUUCAAAGAAAGCGUAAUAGCUCACUGGUCGAGUCCUUCUGCGCGGAAGAUGUAACGGGGCUAAGCUGUUAACCGAAGCCGCGGAUGCACUGGUUAUCCAGUGCGUGGUAGGGGAGCGUUCUGUAAGUCUGCGAAGGCGGUUCGAGAGGACUGCUGGAGAUAUCAGAAGUGCGAAUGCUGACAUGAGUAACGUUAAAGCAGGUGAAAAGCCUGCUCGCCGUAAGCCCAAGGAUUCCUGCUCUACGUUCAUCGGAGCAGGGUGAGUCGGCUCCUAAGGUCAGGCCGAAAGGCGUAGCCGAUGGGAAUCAGGUUAAUAUUCCUGAACCUGCGUCAGAUGCGAUGGGGGGACGGAGCAUGAAAGAUCAUCCGGGUGUUGGAUGUCCCGGUUGACGAGCGUAGGAGGUCUGCAGGCAAAUCCGCAGACGCAUCUCCAAGGCAAAGACACGUGCCGCCACGGCGGCGAAGUGAUCGGAAGUGCUUCCAAGAAAAGCCUCUAAGCACCAGUCUGGCGCGGACCGUACCGCAAACCGACACUGGUGGGCGAGCUGAAUAUGCUCAGGCGCUUGAGAGAACUCGGGAGAAGGAACUCGGCAAAUUGACACCGUAACUUCGGAAGAAGGUGUGCCGUAGUAGCGUGAGAGGAGAGACACCUUGAGCGUGAAUCGGUCUCAGAGAAUAGGUGGCUGCGACUGUUUAUUAAAAACACAGCACUCUGCAAAGUCGAAAGACGACGUAUAGGGUGUGAUGCCUGCCCGGUGCUGGAAGAUUAAUUGAUGGGGUGAGAGCCCUUGAUCGAAGUCCCAGUAAACGGCGGCCGUAACUAUAACGGUCCUAAGGUAGCGAAAUUCCUUGUC
rnacentral:rRNA from 1 species